rnacentral:rRNA from 1 species
AGUGAACGCUGGCGGCGUGCUUAACACAUGCAAGUCGAACGAGAACGGAAUAUAGCUUGCUAUAUUUGUCAGCUAAGUGGCGCACGGGUGAGUAAUGUAUAGAUAACCUGCCCUUAAGAAAGGAAUAACAGUUGGAAACGACUGCUAAUGCCCUAUAUGCCUUUAAUACAUAAGUAUGCAAGGGAAACGCUUUAGUGCUUAAGGAUGGGUCUGUAUGGUAUCAGCUUGUUGGUGAGGUAAUGGCUCACCAAGGCUAUGACGCCUAACUGGUUUGAGAGGAUGAUCAGUCACACUGGAACUGAGACACGGUCCAGACUCCUACGGGAGGCAGCAGUGGGGAAUAUUGCACAAUGGACGAAAGUUUGAUGCAGCAACGCCGCGUGGAGGAUGACACAUUUCGGUGCGUAAACUCCUUUUAUAUAGGAAGAUAGUGACGGUACUAUAUGAAUAAGCACCGGCUAACUCCGUGCCAGCAGCCGCCGUAA